GGGAUAUCCGGAAUGAAACGGUCCUCCAUGAGAGCCACAAGCGGAUGUGAACUUUGGUGGCUUGGCCAGAAUUUAUUGCCCAUCUGUGAUUGCCCAGAAGGCUAUCAAGUGUCAACUGCAUUGCUGUAUGGCUGGAGUCACACACAGACCAAACCAGGGAAUUGGAAAGGGAGCAUUUACUGACAGGCUGCUCAACUCAAACACUGGAUCAAGAACUGCCGGGAACACUUAAUUCUCAGGAGCUUUGAAUAUGGAAGGAACAAGUGUCAUUCACAGUGAAGAGAAACCAUUUACGUGGCCUG